AUGGCGCCCAGCAAGAGGAACUAUCCAUCGGUUAGCCACAAAAGGAAGAAAAAGGAGAAAGAGAAUAAAUUUAUAAAGUCACAGCGCGGAGGUAUUCGCAAUUUUUUCAAGUCAAGUGAUAUUGGUGCCUGUACUACUCCGCCGGACCCAGCUGACGCGUUGGCGAUUGUUGCCAUUGUGGAAGAGCAACAAACUAAUGAAAACUCGGACUCUAAUCAGGAAGAAGAAAAUAUCAACUCCAGCAUCGGUGAUGACAAUGUAAGUGGCUCCGAGAAUGUAAGUAAUUCGUCGGAUGCACAUGCCCAAUCUGCUAGUGUUGAUGAACAACCAGUUUAUACCGCCGAUAUUUAUGAUCCAAAAAACUGGGAUAAUCUUGAUAAUAAAGCAAGAGAUAUCUUAGUUGAGAAAGGGCCUAUCAGAGAGGAAAAAAUGGAAUACCAUGUAGAUGAAACAGGAAGACAUUUUUCGUAUGCUCAUUAUCAUAGAAAAUUAAGCAAU
rnacentral:rRNA from 1 species